ACAGCAUCUUUCGAAUGAUGUGUGAAGUUCCCAAAAUUGCAGUUUUCUGAAGUUCCCUGACGUCGUGUUCGCCCGGGAUGUUGGCCAAAUACGUUCUGAGUGACCUGGAGACAGUUCCAGUUGCCCCUAUAACUACUGGGAUUAUUUUUGCUUACAUUGUUAUUAUAUUUUAUUGUAUUUACUUUAUUUUCCUUGGGCUGUAUCUGUAAUAAGCCGUCUGGCUGGUGAUGCAGCACUCUAAUAAUAAAUAAUUGAAUUAUUAUUAUUAUUUGAAAUUGUCCAUUGAGUGUGGAGCAUCUUAAAUAAAUAAUUUUAAUUUAUUAUUUUCACACGUUUGCCGUAUUUAUUCGUGUGAUCCUGGUGGUUUUUGUGAUGCAGAAUGAAACAUUCUGUAUGCCUAGUAACAAUUACACAGACUUUAACCAUUCAAGUGCUCCUUGCCUUAUAGAAGAGAACGCUUCUACUUGGUAGACUGUGAGAGCAUGCACAGAUGGAAGCUUACUUUAUGGUCGGAGCACUAAGAUAUAGUCAUUGCUGCGCCAUCUCUCGGAUUCUUAUUAUACUACUUGGACCACGAGACCUUUUAACAGAAAUCGAGCCGUGUGGUCUGCUAAAACAAGAUGCCUGUAUUCUGGGUUGUUGCACCGUGUAGUCUGGUAGAAGUUUACGGGCCUUUCAAAGGUUCUUGCUGUCACCAUCAUCAGGGACUGAUUUUGGAGGCAUCAAGUACCUUCAUAACAUCACGAUUUAAGAUGAUGUCCAGAUGGCAGUAUAUUCAAGAGGACUAUUCCUGACAUCUAGCGGCAAAUACCCCAGACGUGAGGCACUGCGCAAAACCACACAUCGUAGUAUCGCUGGUUGCUUAUUAGGAUUAAAAAAUGAUGUAUUGAUCUAAUCAGCGAUUGGAGGGUGGACGUAGUGAAUGUGUUUCUUUUUCAAAGGUGAUUAUGAAUGUUAAGCUUCCCUGUGUGUGGUCUUGUUUGAGCUGAAUUAGUACAUUACACGAACGGGAUUAGCUAGUGUACAGGAUAAAGGAUCAUAUGAUACUGACCUACAGCAUCACUUCAAGUGGCCUGUGGAGCAUAUCAUGACACAAACUUUCUUUCGAGGUAAAUAUAUUUCUCGUACAGUGGCAAUGCAAAUGGCUGUAGUCACCCCGUCACCAGCCAAUCACAGUGUCAGUCGAUUACUUGUCGGAUUGGAAGUUGCAGCUCUCUGCCGUGGUAAGUCGUCUCGUUCAUGCAGUGUAAAGAAUUUGUAAGUCUGUUAAAAUUAAUCACGAGAGCACAAAGUGUUUCAUUUUAAAUGAGAUCUAGUUUAAUUGU